rnacentral:lncRNA from 1 species
CAGAUUUUGUAUUGUUUCGGGUUUUCAACGUUCCGAGGCACUUUCUAAUCCAUUAAAUUUUGAGUUUAUGAUUCUAAUGCCUAUAACUAAGUAUGAAUCACCAUAACAAGAAUUAAAAUUCUACCUUUACGUCGUGAUUCACAUUGUGAGCAAUUUUCCAAAAUCUUCGAAAUCUUGAAUUCUUCAAUCUUCAUCAAUCCGCUUCGAUCCUUCAAGACUCCGACUCACUUCACGAAACUUGCCAAUACAAAGUUCUUAACAAUCUCCCUGUAAUAUACCGAAAAU